GAGGGUAUAGCUCAGUGGUAGAGCAUGUGCUUAGCAUGCACAUAGGUCCUGGGUUCAAUCCCCAGUACUGCCA
rnacentral:tRNA from 1 species